rnacentral:rRNA from 1 species
UACGUAGGGUGCGAGCGUUGUCCGGAAUUAUUGGGCGUAAAGGGCUCGUAGGCGGUCUGUUGCGUCGGGAGUGAAAACUCAGGGCUUAACCCUGAGCCUGCUUCCGAUACGGGCAGACUAGAGGUAUGCAGGGGAGAACGGAAUUCCUGGUGUAGCGGUGAAAUGCGCAGAUAUCAAGAGGAACACCUGAGGUGAAGACGGGUUGCUGGGCCGACACUGACGCUGAGUGCGCGAAAGCCAGGGGAGCAAACGGG